GACGAACGCUGGCGGCGUGCUUAACACAUGCAAGUCGAACGGAAAGGCCUCUGCUUGCAGGGGUGCUCGAGUGGCGAACGGGUGAGUAACACGUGGGUGAUCUGCCUUGUACUCUGGGAUAAGCUUGGGAAACUGGGUCUAAUACCGGAUAGGAACUGCCUUUAGUGUGGUGGUUGGAAAGUUUUUUCGGUGCAAGAUGAGCUCGCGGCCUAUCAGCUUGUUGGUGGGGUAAUGGCCUACCAAGGCGUCGACGGGUAGCCGGCCUGAGAGGGUGUACGGCCACAUUGGGACUGAGAUACGGCCCAGACUCCUACGGGAGGCAGCAGUGGGGAAUAUUGCACAAUGGGCGGAAGCCUGAUGCAGCGACGCCGCGUGGGGGAUGACGGCCUUCGGGUUGUAAACUCCUUUCGACAGGGACGAAGCGCAAGUGACGGUACCUGUAUAAGAAGCACCGGCUAACUACGUGCCAGCAGCCGCGGUAAUACGUAGGGUGCGAGCGUUGUCCGGAAUUACUGGGCGUAAAGAGCUCGUAGGUGGUUUGUCGCGUCGUCUGUGAAAUUCCGGGGCUUAACUCCGGGCGUGCAGGCGAUACGGGCAUAACUUGAGUGCUGUAGGGGAGACUGGAAUUCCUGGUGUAGCGGUGUAAUGCGCAGAUAUCAGGAGGAACGCCGAUGGCGAAGGCAGGUCUCUGGGCAGUUACUGACGCUGAGGAGCGAAAGCAUGGGUAGCGAACAGGAUUAGAUACCCUGGUAGUCCAUGCCGUAAACGGUGGGCGCUAGGUGUAGGGGGCUUCCACGUCUUCUGUGCCGUAGCUAACGCAUUAAGCGCCCCGCCUGGGGAGUACGGCCGCAAGGCUAAAACUCAAAGGAAUUGACGGGGGCCCGCACAAGCGGCGGAGCAUGUGGAUUAAUUCUAUGCAACGCGAAGAACCUUACCUGGGCUUGACAUACACCAGAUCGCUGCAGAGAUGUAGUUUCCCUUGUGGUUGGUGUACAGGUGGUGCAUGGUUGUCUUCAGCUCUCGUCGUGAGAUGUUGGGUUAAGUCCCGCAACGAGCGCAACCCUUGUCUUAUGUUGCCAGCAUUUGGUUGGGGACUCAUGANAGACUGCCGGGGUUAACUCGGAGGAGGGUGGGGAUGACGUCAAAUCAUCAUGCCCCUUAUGUCCAGGGCUUCACACGUGCUACAAUGGUCGGUAGAACGCGCAGCGGCACGUGAGGUGGAGCGAAUCGGCUGAAGAGCCGGUCUUAGUUCGGAUUGGGGUGUGCAACUCGACCCCACGAAGUGGGAGUGGCUAGUAAUCUUAGGAUCACCAAUGCUGGGGUGAAUACGUUCCCGGGCCU
rnacentral:rRNA from 1 species